GGUCCGGUAGUUCAGUCUGGUUAGAAUGCCUGCCUGUCACGCAGGAGGUCGCGGGUUCGAGUCCCGUCCGGACCG
rnacentral:tRNA from 1 species